rnacentral:rRNA from 1 species
UGGCAGCAGUGGGGAAUUUUCCGCAAUGGGCGAAAGCCUGACGGAGCAACGCCGCGUGAGGGAUGAAGGCCUCUGGGCUGUAAACCUCUUUUAUCAAGGAAGAAGAUCUGACGGUACUUGAUGAAUAAGCCACGGCUAAUUCCGUGCCAGCAGCCGCGGUAAUACGGGAGUGGCAAGCGUUAUCCGGAAUUAUUGGGCGUAAAGCGUCCGCAGGCGGUCUGUCAAGUCUGCUGUUAAAGCGUGGAGCUUAACUCCAUUUCGGCAGUGGAAACUGACAGACUAGAGUGUGGUAGGGGCAGAGGGAAUUCCCGGUGUAGCGGUGAAAUGCGUAGAUAUCGGGAAGAACACCAGUGGCGAAGGCGCUCUGCUGGGCCAUAACUGACGCUCAUGGACGAAAGCCAGGGGAGCGAAAGGGAUUAGAUACCCCUGUAGUCCUGGCCGUAAACGAUGAACACUAGGUGUCGGGGGAAUCGACCCCCUCGGUGUCGUAGCCAACGCGUUAAGUGUUCCGCCUGGGGAGUACGCACGCAAGUGUGAAACUCAAAGGAAUUGACGG